rnacentral:rRNA from 1 species
ACUCAAAGGAAUUGACGGGGACCUGCACAAGCAGUGGAGCGUGUGGUUUAAUUCGUUACAAAGCGAAGAACCUCACCUAGGUUUGACAUGUGACUGCAAGCUGGUGGAAACAUCGGCCCCCUUCGAGGGUGUCACACAGAUGCUGCAUGGCUGUCGUCAGCUCGUGUCGUGAGAUGUUGGGUUAAGUCCCGUAACGAGCGCAACCCCUACGUUCAGUUGUAUCACUCUGGACGAACUGCCUCCAUACAAGGAGGAGGAAGGCGGGGAUGACGUCAAGUCAGCAUAGCUCUUACACCUAGGGCUACACACACCCUACAAUGGGGUAGACAACAGGAUGCCAAGCCGCAAGGCGGAGCCAAUCCCUUAAACUAUCCCUCAGUUCAGAUUGGGGGCUGCAACUCGCCCCCAUGAAGUCGGAAUUGCUAGUAAUCGCAGAUCAGCAGGCUGCGGUGAAUACGUUCUCAGGUCUUGUACACACCGCCCGU